UAUGAAGGCCAACAGAGUGCUGGACUCCAU
rnacentral:piRNA from 1 species